rnacentral:tRNA from 2 species
GCGCCAUUAGUGUAGUGGUUAACAUAUUCGCCUUCCAAGCGAAAGAGACGGGUUCGAUUCCCGUAUGGCGCA